rnacentral:lncRNA from 1 species
UAUUAUUAGUAUUUAAUUGACUAAUAAUGUCAAAUUUGAUAAUGUUGAUUUAUAUAGUCAAAUUAUGUAGUAAUAGUAAUAAUAAUUAUAAUAAUUAUUAUUUAGUAACUGACCGUUUCUAGUACAAGUGGCAAAGAAUUUGGCAGUUAGUACUUGAGGUCCUAAAUUUGAAUCACAGUUGAUUCACAUUUUCGUUGAUUCACAUUUCCAGCUAAAUUUAUUUCUAAAAAAAAUAAACAUUCAGUAAUAAACAAAGAGGAUAGCAUCUUGCUAUCUUUCUGAAAAAAAUAUUCAGUAAUAAUGAUAUUUAUUAUUAUUAAAUAUUAAUUUUUAAUUAAUAUUAUUAUAACAAAAAUUAAUUAUUUUUAAAUAUU